rnacentral:rRNA from 1 species
GAUGAACGCUGGCGGCGUGCCUAAUACAUGCAAGUCGAGCGAACGGACGAGAAGCUUGCUUCUCUGAUGUUAGCGGCGGACGGGUGAGUAACACGUGGAUAACCUACCUAUAAGACUGGGAUAACUUCGGGAAACCGGAGCUAAUACCGGAUAAUAUUUUGAACCGCAUGGUUCAAAAGUGAAAGACGGUCUUGCUGUCACUUAUAGAUGGAUCCGCGCUGCAUUAGCUAGUUGGUAAGGUAACGGCUUACCAAGGCAACGAUGCAUAGCCGACCUGAGAGGGUGAUCGGCCACACUGGAACUGAGACACGGUCCAGACUCCUACGGGAGGCAGCAGUAGGGAAUCUUCCGCAACGGGCGAAAGCCUGACGGAGCAACGCCGCGUGAGUGAUGAAGGUCUUCGGAUCGUAAAACUCUGUUAUUAGGGAAGAACAUAUGUGUAAGUAACUGUGCACAUCUUGACGGUACCUAAUCAGAAAGCCACGGCUAACUACGUGCCAGCAGCCGCGGUAAUACGUAGGUGGCAAGCGUUAUCCGGAAUUAUUGGGCGUAAAGCGCGCGUAGGCGGUUUUUUAAGUCUGAUGUGAAAGCCCACGGCUCAACCGUGGAGGGUCAUUGGAAACUGGAAAACUUGAGUGCAGAAGAGGAAAGUGGAAUUCCAUGUGUAGCGGUGAAAUGCGCAGAGAUAUGGAGGAACACCAGUGGCGAAGGCGACUUUCUGGUCUGUAACUGACGCUGAUGUGCGAAAGCGUGGGGAUCAAACAGGAUUAGAUACCCUGGUAGUCCACGCCGUAAACGAUGAGUGCUAAGUGUUAGGGGGUUUCCGCCCCUUAGUGCUGCAGCUAACGCAUUAAGCACUCCGCCUGGGGAGUACGACCGUAAGGUUGAAACUCAAAGGAAUUGACGGGGACCCGCACAAGCGGUGGAGCAUGUGGUUUAAUUCGAAGCAACGCGAAGAACCUUACCAAAUCUUGACAUCCUUUGACAACUCUAGAGAUAGAGCCUUCCCCUUCGGGGGACAAAGUGACAGGUGGUGCAUGGUUGUCGUCAGCUUGUGUCGUGAGAUGUUGGGUUAAGUCCCGCAACGAGCGCAACCCUUAAGCUUAGUUGCCAUCAUUAAGUUGGGCACUCUAAGUUGACUGCCGGUGACAAACCGGAGGAAGGUGGGGAUGACGUCAAAUCAUCAUGCCCCUUAUGAUUUGGGCUACACACGUGCUACAAUGGACAAUACAAAGGGCAGCGAAACCGCGAGGUCAAGCAAAUCCCAUAAAGUUGUUCUCAGUUCGGAUUGUAGUCUGCAACUCGACUACAUGAAGCUGGAAUCGCUAGUAAUCGUAGAUCAGCAUGCUACGGUGAAUACGUUCCCGGGUCU